AUUGAACGCUGGCGGCAUGCCUUACACAUGCAAGUCGAACGGUAACAGGUUAAGCUGACGAGUGGCGAACGGGUGAGUAAUGUAUCGGAACGUGCCCAGUCGUGGGGGAUAACUGCUCGAAAGAGCAGCUAAUACCGCAUACGACCUGAGGGUGAAAGCGGGGGAUCGCAAGACCUCGCGCGAUUGGAGCGGCCGAUAUCAGAUUAGGUAGUUGGUGAGGUAAAGGCUCACCAAGCCGACGAUCUGUAGCUGGUCUGAGAGGAUGACCAGCCACACUGGGACUGAGACACGGCCCAGACUCCUACGGGAGGCAGCAGUGGGGAAUUUUGGACAAUGGGCGCAAGCCUGAUCCAGCCAUGCCGCGUGCGGGAAGAAGGCCUUCGGGUUGUAAACCGCUUUUGUCAGGGAAGAAAAGGUUCUGGCUAAUACCUGGGACUCAUGACGGUACCUGAAGAAUAAGCACCGGCUAACUACGUG
rnacentral:rRNA from 1 species